CCUACGGGAGGCAGCAGUAGGGAAUUUUCCGCAAUGGGCGAAAGCCUGACGGAGCAAUACCGCGUGAGGGAUGACGGCCUGUGGGUUGUAAACCUCUUUUCUCAAGGAAGAAGUUCUGACGGUACUUGAGGAAUAAGCAUCGGCUAACUCUGUGCCAGCAGCCGCGGUAAUACAGAGGAUGCAAGCGUUAUCCGGAAUCACUGGGCAUAAAGCGUCUGUAGGUUGUUUAGUAAGUCUGCUGUUAAAGACUGGGGCUUAACCCCAGAAAAGCAGUGGAAACUGCUAGACUCGAGUGUGGUAGAGGUAGAGGGAAUUCCUAGUGCAGCGGUGAAAUGCGUAGAUAUUAGGAAGAACACCAAUGGCGAAGGCACUCUACUGGGCCAUAACUGACACUGAGAGACGACAGCUAGGGGAGCAAACGGGAUUAGAUACCCCGGUAGUCCUAGCCGUAAACGAUGGAUACUAGAUGUUGCACGUAUUAACCCGUGCAGUAUCGUAGCUAAGGCGUUAAGUAUCCCGCCUGGGAAGUACGCUCGCAAGAGUGAAACUCAAAGNGUAGUCGCGNGNGAGAGCGACGACGACGACGACGGAGGAGGAG
rnacentral:rRNA from 1 species